AUGAAUCAAUUAUUACGUUACCGUGUCUGUAGCGUCAUCCGCCGUGAUGACGUCUUGUAUUCUUAUAGGUUGCAUACACACGCAUGCGUAGAAACAGGUUAACAAACAUGUUUGUUAUGAAAUACCCCAACAGGCCACAGAACUGUUACCACAGGGCUGAGGUCCAUGCAGUACCUAGCCCCAGAUACAUGUUAACAACCCCAGGAUCUCAGGCUCUUCCAGGCCGGUCUGUGUCACCUGCACCCCGCACACCUCUCGUGGUUCCAGAGACACCGUGGCCCCUUAGGGUCCGAGGAAGAUCACAAUGUAAACCUCAAAGUGGUAAAGCCGCCAGAAGACUAUUUGAAGACAAGAAGGCUUUAAUGCGAUGGAGAUAGCUGUGUACAUCCCCCCGGGAAGCAGAGUGACAUAUUUGUUGCAGCAUUCACCACAGCACAUGCACGCCUCAAACUGUACGAAUGUCUGGAGAAGUUGCAAGAGAGAGUUCUCUACAUUGACACAGACAGCUUAAUCUAUGUAGUGAAGGAGGGUGAGACGUCUCUGGAAGUGGGUAACUAUCUGAUCUGACCGAUGAAUUGGAUGGUGACAGUAUUCAGGAGUUUGUAGCAGCGGGUCCCAAGAGUUACGCCAACCAAACUAAAUCCAAGAGAAAGGCAUUACACAAACGCAGGAGUGUUGUGAGGUGGUAAACUUUGACAGCGUCAGAGAACUGGUGGAGGGGUACAUCCAAAAUUCAAGACAAGGUGUGAUUGAAGUACCGCAGCACACAAUCACUCGUGAUAAAAGAGGUUUUGUGUUAAAAAACUUGUCAUUCCGGAAAAAGUUUAGAGUGGUGUAUGACAAAAGGCGUCUCUUUGCUGACGGUACAACUCUACCUUUUGGUCAUUAAAACUAGAUUUUUUAUUUUAUUUUAUUUUUUCAGACUUGCUGUUAUGGAGGAAAUUGAUUUUGAAACCCGUUUCAUAUUCCCUUUUUCCUGUAUGAUUGUAGGUCCCAGCGGUUGUGGGAAAACCUACUUUGUAAAAAAUGUAUUACAAAACUGUGAACGUGUGAUGAAUGUUGUACCUGAAAAUAUUGUAUGGAUUUAUACCUCCUUUCAACAUAUGUACAAUGAAUUGCAAAGGAUGAAUAAAAAGAUUAAAUUUG